rnacentral:snoRNA from 15 species
ACUACGUCCAGUCUAAUUCUGCAUCAGGUCAUUUGGAUACUGUUGGAGACUCGCUUUUGGACAAGAUCAAUAUUAUGUCUCCUAUUAUCCUUGUGCUUGUGGCAACACCCAGCUCAAUGCACACGAGAAACGUAGAAGAACAACU